ACGCGGAAAGGUAAGAGGCAGCAAUGCGUUCUUCAUUAAAAAAUGGUAGUGCUUGAAGAGUCCGUGGCAGAUCACACUUUGAAUUCAACCGCGCAGGCAGAGUCGAGCCAAAGGAAAAGCUCCGCAGCGUAACGCUUUCACACUGCGACGGUGCUACGGCGAGCCGAGCCCUGCACAUCCGGUGUGUUAAUCCUCCGUAGGCCUCACUCGCAGCUGCUGGCCUUUACGAUGCAGAUGUUGACCUCUCGCACUGUUCAGCACACAAGACGCACGCGGCAACUACUUUACUGCUGUAUAUUUGUUUAUUCCAAAGCGAAUGUUACAUCUGGUGCCGUUUCCCGGGAGCGAAAGGCCCCUCUUGCCCGUAUAAUGACAACUGGAUGACCCCUGGUAAUGUCUCCAAAUGCCCGGGGGCGUUGUGUGUGUUCCAAAGUGCCCCUGCAUUACCCACAAGAGGCUCUGCUGAGUAUUUUUUACACUUGCCACAUUUACAGGACCCUUUGGAAUAAGCUUCUAUGCCAGGAUGUGUGUGUGUGUGCAAUAACUCCCUGGGGGGCUAAUAGAAGGAGCAGAGACUUUAUGAGAUCGAUAGCGCUAUUUGGCUCACGAUGCAUAUUUGUUUAAAUCAUUUUCAGACUAGUACCUAAACUUGCAAUAACUUACUUGGAAUCAUUUGCGGCACUUUCCACAGCCGGUGGUCCUGUUCCUGCAACACAAGGAGCCCUGAAUGUUACAUGAAAUCAGCAUCAAUUGGCUUUGGCUCGAUCUUCGGCCACCAGUGGCGGCGAAAGCACAAACGCAGCAUGGAACCUGCUAACUGGCUCGCCAGCCAGAGGUGACUUCAGCUCCGCUUGUUUUUUAGUAAUUAUAGAGGGUCGGGUGAGAAAACAUUUUGGCAUUUUGACACUAAAACAUUUAAUUUAAAGACAACGUGGGAAUGACUGCUGUUGGCUGUUUUUUAGACGGUAGUUUUACGCUCCUCCUGAAUGCACUUCCCCGGUGAAUAGAGCUCACUGGCAAUAUUAAGUUUCCCGGGAGCAGUCUGAAUAAGCGGUAAAUAGACUGGCGCUGGGAUCUUUGCUGUGUAACGGUUCACUGUGCUUUAAAAGGGAAAUAUUUUCAUUUAAUUCAAUAUUGGAUUUUUAUUAACGUUUUUUUAUCCAUAUUUUUCCAGCGGUAGUUUUUUCGAAACCAAAUGAGGAGCAACUACAGUGUUGGUCAUCAUUACAGCUAAUGCUGUAUUGGAUUCAGUGCCCCUUUGACUGCGCGUUUGUCCUCGUUCAGGCCGAUAAGCCUCCUGUGAGCAACAUCAGUAGCUGAGACGGUUGCAGAGAUCCGCCUGCCGCGUGUAAUGGAUUUCACGGACGCCGAUCGACCGCUUCGAGGGAAGAAAACGCUCGGUGCUGAAUGCUGCUGUAAUAAAGUUAUAACACUUACUUACACUCAUGCAAGAAACGUGUGAAGGAUGUUUCAGAGGCUGACUUAAUUAAGUAUUAGUUUAGUGUUUUUUACCCUCUUGGUGGCCUGUCUGCUGCAGACUGGUCAAAACGAGUCAUAUUUUUGAAAGGAAAAACCAAUAAGCACAAGGAAAGAACCCGUGAUGAAGCCUCCAUGUGUAAAGUCCCUGAACCAAUGAAAUUGCCUCAAGCGACGCGGCCGUGGCAGAAAAAAAGGUAGAAAUAAAACCAUGUGAUCAGUGCACUUGCUUCAAUUCGAUGGUAAUCUGCAGGAGAGAUGGAAAUGGAAUGAUCAUUACAGUGAUGAAUCCCCCCCCGCGGAGGGCUGCCCGGAGACGAGAUCUGCAACAAUGCAAGAAGAGGUAAAAAUGCGUCUCUUCGGGGCUUCGUGCUGCUUUCGCCACUGGCUGUUUGCUGUGGUUCAGUUCGACGCCAUUAAACAAAUCCACAGUAAUCACAAAUACGGAGCGCGGGACGCCGUUCUGUGCCGAGCCUCUAGUAAUGGACUAAAUGAGCCUCUGCGCUUGUUUGCGUGUUCCUAUCAGCUGGGGAUGUGAUUGUAAAUUAGAAGAACUUAGCUUGCCGCUCGCCCGCUGCUGACUUGGGAAUGGUAUUGGAUUACAGCGACUCUAAUAGUGUCCCCCUAAUGUCUCCCUUAGAAAGCCUCCUGGCCUCUCACCGACGGGGAACGUUUUCUUUUUAUACUUAAUCUAUAACGACAGCUGGAGGAAGAACCGCAGGCACAAAAGUGUCCGGUGGGUCAACAUGAGCGGCUUUGAUCCGACAGUAAUGGUUGUAUUUAAUGCGCACGGGUGGGCGGCGCAGUUCUCGUUUAUUUCACCAAAAACAAAGUUAAAGUCUGAAAAUCAACAGGUUUGGUCGACCUCAAGCAAAGAAUAAUACACAUUGUUGCCCUUUUGAUUCUGGAAGGGUUCAUAAUCAUUUGAAGGGUCUUUGGAAACGCAGGUGCGUCCUCUGCUGAACGUGAUGCAAACAGCUGGAAUGACUCUUUGAUUCAUGAAUAUUACGUUUGCUGCAGUUUUCUUUUCUAUUCAUUUCUAAUUCCUAAUGACAUCCACCCGAUCGAUGUUUUAUUGGCUUCAUCUCAUUAAAUUGCUAUAAUCCUGGUGCCAGCAUAUAAGAACAUUCAACCCAAUGUACCUGCAGUCAUUGUCAUAUAGAAAGACCAAGAUGUUUGUGGCUAUUUAAAACAUAUGAAUCACUUACAGAUGAGUACAAACAUAACACAUAUCACACAACACGAUAUAUAAAUGUAUGCCACCAAAACAUACUCGGCGCUCUUUGUGUCCUCAGGGGCCAGCUGGAGGUUCAGGCAUUUGAUCCGGAUUCCUCACGCUGGUUUAUUUGUGCUCAUCCGACUGGUAGAAGGUCUGAGAAUCCACAGGAGAACUUGGACAACUUUCCCGGCCUCCAGGGAUCAUGGCGAAAAUAAAAGAACUUGAUAGAAUCUGUUGUGACGGAGCCCUUUUCAUGAACAUCAGCCCUCAAGAACGUGCGCAGGAUCGUCUCCUGGGCAGUUUCUGUAGAUUCCGUAGACAUGUGCGAUCAUCAGGCCGGGCGGUGUGAGCUUUGUUGAGGAGCAGCGGUUCAUCCGUGUUGGUUGGCCGGAGAGCGAAACGUUUGGCCGGAUGAAUCGAUGGGAGCACAGUUGGCUUCUUUGCCCCGUCGCCAUCCCCGUCCCGAGAGAGAGAGCAGCUGCUCCUCCAACCAGAAGCUCCGGGAAACUUUCCAGCUCGACGAAAGCGUUUGACCGGCAUAUUGUCCAAAGUUUAAACGUUCCUUCCUGAUGAAUUUGAUCAAAGAGGGAAAUCUGGAGAGGAGACCAAAUCUCCUUCUUUAACCACCUGGCUUAGUGUGUGAAUCUGUCGCAAUAUUGUGUCUUGUGUGAGAAACUCUUGACAACAGCAUCAAUUAGCAGUGUUUUCUCCACUGAGUGCUUUCUUAAGAGGCUUAAAUGGUGUUAAAUGAACCGACGUGCUCCACUUUGCUUCUGUUAAAGAACUUUGAUCUAAAUUCAUAUUAGGAAUGAUGCUUCAGCAGUCUACAACGAUAAAAAACAGAAGCAAGUCAGCAUCUUUGCACUUCCCCACGUCUUUGUCUCUGUUUUUAGUUCAGGUCAGUUGUUGAUGCAAGCUGAAGAGAUUUUAACGCUGUGAAAAUGAAUCAAUGGUCUCAAUCACUAGUUUCAAGUCUUCUCCUAUACAGCACGAUGUCCAUUUAGUAGAUGAUGGUACAUUUAGAGUCUAUAAACUUAACCCAAAAGAACAGUAAUCAGUCACCUUUUUCUUUUUUUUAAUAUACUUUCCCGCCUUUUUGUGUUUCCUCACCUUUGCGGUUGACCUUACCGCCCCUUAGCUCACCUGUGUGUGAUCACUUGGCCCUCACGUGUGUCUCCUGUUUCAGUGUGUGUGUGUGGAGAAACAGAACGGAGCCCUUAACCUGUCUUUCCUUUCAGUCGUUACACAUAUUGCUCCAUAGGCGAAGGUACAGGAAGCUGACUGAAACACCGUCACGUUCCGUAUUCAUACAUACUACUAUCUCCAUUUCCCCCGUAUUUCUUAUGAUUGUGAUUUAAUUUGUAUACAACCCACAAUAUAAUAAUGCUGUCUUUGGAAAAUGAUUUAUUGGCAAAGAAAAUCGAAUUUGUCAACUUGACUGAACAAAAUCAUGAUAGAUGAUACAGAAAGUGUUUUGUGUCGUUUCCCUCACUGACUUUAACUGUAUUCAUAAUAAAAGUUACACAUUUUCUCAUAAACUAACCACAUUUAUGGGCGGUUGUGUUACAUACUGUGUAUUCUUUACCACAUUGUGCAUAACUCCAAUACUAAAACCGAUGUUUAUCAUCUUCACACGUUGAGAUUAAUUAUAUCCGUCCAAUCCGCCACAACGUCUGGUGAAUAAUGGAGAUGCCAUCAGAGGGGAAUGUCGGCAGGGAGAAGCCUUCUGUGAGGGAUGCUCAGCAUCCUCCUCCGUCCAGCGGGAGCAAGGAGAUGGCUGAGCGACUUGUGGUCCUGGGAAGAUUGAAUCCUGGUGCAGCAGUAGUUUGUUUUAUGGAAGACUAAAUGACACCUGCUGAUUAAUCAGGGGACUAAAUACACCCUCUUUGCACCCACAUCACCUGCCAUCCAACGGACACAUGUGGAUACACACUAAACACACCUGCACCGUCUACUUACAACGCAGUGCUACGUACAUUUAAAAAUGUAGUAGUAGCCUCACAGAAUACCUCCAAGUAAACAACGGAACGGGUUCUUAAAGCCACCUUUCUGACAAAGAGAUUGGAUUCAUUUAAAACCUUCUUGUGAAAUGUGUCUGGUUGUGUGUUUGUAUUCACAUUUACAUAAUAUGUAUCGAUGACCCUCAGAGCUCUGAAGGUUCCAUCUUGGACGUUCAUGUGUGUCACUUGGAUACAGAUGUUAUGUCACCAUCCAAUCCUGAUCAAACGGGGCGAACCGGCCUGAAAUCCUCCCACAAAAUGGUAAUGGCCUUCCUGAAGCUACAGCUCUGUCACACACACACACACACACACACACACACACACACCGUGACCACUGCUGCAGCAUCCUGUGGCGCACGCACACUGCACUGUGUGGCGCCGUCUGUUCCCAGUUUUCAUGCCACUAUAACGACCCUGUGCAUUCAGCACAUGUUCAGCUGGUUAUCUGUGGAAGAGGACCAGAAGAUCAGGACCAGAAGAUCAGCACCAGAAGAUCAGGACCAGAAGAUCAGCACCGGAAGAUCAGCACCGGAAGAUUAGUACCGGAAGCUCAGGACCAGAAGAUCAGUACCAGAAGCUCAGGACCAGAAGAUCAGGACCAGACGAUCAGGACCGGAAGAUCAGCACCAGAAGAUCAGCACCAGAAGAUCAGCACCAGAAGAUCGGCACCAGAAGAUCGGGACCAGAAGAUCGGGACCAGAAGAUCAGCACCAGAAGCUCAGCACCAGAAGCUCAGGACCAGCGCUGGCUCUCGGGGGAAGAGAGUGUGUCCCUGUAGCCGCGGUGGUUCACUUCUUGCUUGAAUCCAAGGUUACUUUCUUUCUGUGUCGGGAGCUCAAAGGUUCUUCUGAGGAAUCACCAAUGAACCCAAUACCUUUUGUAUGGAUGGACUUAGCGUGGUGAUGAUGUCAGGGCCGCUGCUCACACAUCAUCACACAUCGAGCGUGCAUCAGAGAUCCGUGUGUACGGUCUGACAGAAGGAAUUUCAUAUCAUAUCCACGAAUAGGUUGGUAUUGAUCACCUGAAAUAAAGAUGCUUCUGUAUUUUUGUAAUUUGGUCCCUAAGUGACAUCUGAACUGUUUGGUAUAUUUUAAUAAAUAAUGGGUCUGUUGAGAUCUUUUUUUUGUGUUAACUGAAAUGGAAAUAAAUCUUUUUGCAUUACUUUUUUCUCAGUGAGGACAGUGAAAGAUUCUGCACAAUAGCUGAAAUCUUUUUGCCUAAUUUCACACAUUCCUCCAGUCCCACAUUGCAUUUGUCCGUACACCUAAAAGACUGC
ensembl:lncRNA